rnacentral:rRNA from 1 species
AGAGUUUGAUCCUGGCUCAGAGUGAACGCUGGCGGCAUGCCUAACACAUGCAAGUCGAACGGUAACAGGCCCGCAAGGGUGCUGACGAGUGGCGGACGGGUGAGGAAUACAUCGGAAUUUGCCCAGUCGUGGGGGAUAACGUAGGGAAACUUACGCUAAUACCGCAUACGACCUUACGGUGAAAGCGGGGGAUCGCAAGACCUCGCGCGAGUGGAUGAGCCGAUGUCGGAUUAGCUAGUUGGCGGGGUAAAGGCCCACCAAGGCGACGAUCCGUAGCUGGUCUGAGAGGAUGAUCAGCCACACUGGGACUGAGACACGGCCCAGACUCCUACGGGAGGCAGCAGUGGGGAAUAUUGGACAAUGGGGGCAACCCUGAUCCAGCAAUGCCGCGUGUGUGAAGAAGGCCUUCGGGUUGUAAA